rnacentral:rRNA from 1 species
CAAUAGCGUAUAUUUAAGUUGCUGCAGUUAAAAAGCUCGUAGUUGGAUUUCGGGUGGGAAUGGCCGGUCCGCCGUUUCGGUGUGCACUUGCUACGCCCACCUUGCUGCCCGGGACGUGCUCUUGAGUUCACGCUCGGGACACGGAGUCGGCGAGGUUACUUUGAGUAAAUUAGAGUGUUCAAAGCAGGCCUACGCUCUGAAUACAUUAGCAUGGAAUAACACGAUAGGACUCUGGCCUAUCUUGUUGGUCUGUAGGACCGGAGUAAUGAUUAAGAGGGACAGUCGGGGGCAUUCGUAUUUCAUUGUCAGAGGUGAAAUUCUUGGAUUUAUGAAAGACGAACUACUGCGAAAGCAUUUGCCAAGGAUGUUUUCAUUAA